rnacentral:rRNA from 1 species
UUGUUCUUUCCCGCCGUAUAUACCACCGUCGUCAGCUUACCCUGUGAAGGCCCUAUAGUAAGCACAAUCGGCAAUGCCCAAUACGUCAGGUCGAGGUGUAGCGAAUGGAAGGGGAAGAAAUGGGCUACAUUUACUAAUAUAGUAAAUACGGAUGAUCACCCUGCAACGAGUAUCUGAAGGAGGAUUUAGCAGUAAGCAAAAAAUAGAGCGUUUUGCUGAAAUUGGCCCUGAAGCGUGCACACACCGCCCGUCACUCUCCCCGAACUAAGAUCUAAAACAUAACUAAUAUGCUAUAACUGUAAAGGGGAGGCAAGUCGUAACAUGGUAAGCGUACCGGAAGGUGCGCUUGGAAAAAC